rnacentral:rRNA from 1 species
CGACGACGGGUAGCCGGCCUGAGAGGGUGACCGGCCACACUGGGACUGAGACACGGCCCAGACUCCUACGGGAGGCAGCAGUGGGGAAUAUUGCACAAUGGGCGAAAGCCUGAUGCAGCAACGCCGCGUGAGGGAUGACGGCCUUCGGGUUGUAAACCUCUUUUAGUAGGGAAGAAGCGAAAGUGACGGUACCUGCAGAAAAAGCACCGGCUAACUACGUGCCAGCAGCCGCGGUAAUACGUAGGGUGCAAGCGUUGUCCGGAAUUAUUGGGCGUAAAGAGCUCGUAGGCGGUUUGUCGCGUCUGCUGUGAAAUCUGGGGGCUCAACCCCCAGCCUGCAGUGGGUACGGGCAGACUAGAGUGCGGUAGGGGAGAUUGGAAUUCCUGGUGUAGCGGUGGAAUGCGCAGAUAUCAAGAGGAACACCGAUGGCGAAGGCAGAUCUCUGGGCCGUAACUGACGCUGAGGAGCGAAAAGCAUGGGGAGCGAACAGGAUUAGAUACCCUGGUAGUCCAUGCCGUAAACGUUGGGAACUAGAUGUGGGGGCCAUUCCACGGUCUCCGUGUCGCAGCUAACGCAUUAAGUUCCCCGCCUGGGGAGUACGGCCGCAAGGCUAAAACUCAAAGGAAUUGACGGGGGCCCGCACAAGCGGCGGAGCAUGCGGAUUAAUUCGAUGCAACGCGAAGAACCUUACCAAGGCUUGACAUAUACCGGAAACGUCCAGAGAUGGUCGCCCCGCAAGGUCGGUAUACAGGUGGUGCAUGGUUGUCGUCAGCUCGUGUCGUGAGAUGUUGGGUUAAGUCCCGCAACGAGCGCAACCCUCGUUCUAUGUUGCCAGCACGUUAUGGUGGGAACUCAUAGGAGACUGCCGGGGUCAACUCGGAGGAAGGUGGGGAUGACGUCAAAUCAUCAUGCCCCUUAUGUCUUGGGCUUCACGCAUGCUACAAUGGCCGGUACAAAGGGCUGCGAUACCGUAAGGUGGAGCGAAUCCCAAAAAGCCGGUCUCAGUUCGGAUUGAGGUCUGCAACUCGACCUCAUGAAGUCGGAGU